GAUGAACGCUGGCGGCGUGCCUAAUACAUGCAAGUCGAGCGAACAGACGAGGAGCUUGCUCCUCUGACGUUAGCGGCGGACGGGUGAGUAACACGUGGAUAACCUACCUAUAAGACUGGGAUAACUUCGGGAAACCGGAGCUAAUACCGGAUAAUAUAUUGAACCGCAUGGUUCAAUAGUGAAAGACGGUUUUGCUGUCACUUAUAGAUGGAUCCGCGCCGCAUUAGCUAGUUGGUAAGGUAACGGCUUACCAAGGCAACGAUGCGUAGCCGACCUGAGAGGGUGAUCGGCCACACUGGAACUGAGACACGGUCCAGACUCCUACGGGAGGCAGCAGCAGGGAAUCUUCCGCAAUGGGCGAAAGCCUGACGGAGCAACGCCGCGUGAGUGAUGAAGGUCUUCGGAUCGUAAAACUCUGUUAUUAGGGAAGAACAAAUGUGUAAGUAACUAUGCACGUCUUGACGGUACCUAAUCAGAAAGCCACGGCUAACUACGU
rnacentral:rRNA from 1 species